CCUACGGGAGGCAGCAGUGAGGAAUAUUGGUCAAUGGACGAGAGUCUGAACCAGCCAAGUAGCGUGAAGGAUGACUGCCCUAUGGGUUGUAAACUUCUUUUAUAAAGGAAUAAAACGAGGCACGUGUGCCUUUUUGCAUGUACUUUAUGAAUAAGGAUCGGCUAACUCGGUGCCAGCAGCCGCGGUAAUACGGAGGAUCCGAGCGUUAUCCGGAUUUAUUGGGUUUAAGGGGAGCGUAGAUGGGUUGUUAAGUCAGUUGUGAAAGUUUGCGGCUCAACCGUAAAAUUGCAAUUGAUACUGGCAGUCUUGAGUACAGUUGAGGUAGGCGGAAUUCGUGGUGUAGCGGUGAAAUGCUUAGAUAUCACGAAGAACCCCGAUUGCGAAGGCAGCUUACUAGACUGUGACUGACAUUGAUGCUCGAAAGUGUGGGUAGCAAACAGGAUUAGAUACCCUUGUAGUC
rnacentral:rRNA from 1 species